UACAACGAGUCGCAAACUCGCGAGAGUAAGCUAAUCUCUUAAAGCCGUUCUCAGUUCGGACUGUAGGCUGCAACUCGCCUACACGAAGUCGGAAUCGCUAGUAAUCGCGGAUCAGCAUGCCGCGGUGAAUACGUUCCCGGGCCUUGUACACACCGCCCGUCACACCAUGGGAGUUUGUAACGCCCAAAGUCGGUGGCCUAACCUUUAUAGAGGGAGCCGCCUAAGGCGGGACAGAUGACUGGGGUGAAGUCGUAACAAGGUAGC
rnacentral:rRNA from 1 species